CGUUUGGUAAAGCAACCCCGCCGCUUGUGCCAUAUCCGUGUCCGCUUCAGGAACCCUUUUCGUUAUCGGCUCCGGAAUCACGAAAUGGGCGACACUAGACAACACCUUGCUGUCCCCUUCAGUGGAUUAUUGAUAGAAAAUAUUGGAGGUGGCAUGGACCACCGGUUUCGAGAUUAUUUUCUCAUCGUUGCAGGGAGAAACGCACGAAAGAUGGCGCCUCGUUCGUCUCCCUUGGAUUUGAGUCUCUGACAAAUACAGCUGCAGCGCGAGCAGCGAGAAGCCUGCCUGUAGGCGGGAGACAUGCUCACGCGCGCCGCUAGAGUGAGCGAGAGAGCGCGGAGCGGCGCUUCACUGACUGGCCUCUAGAGGGAGACUGUGAACGCACUGAAAUGUUUAGGGAAAACCGUGGUACCAGAAGUAAAAUAUUCGAAUACAUUUUAAUUUACAAAUAAAUGAAUGAUUCAGAUAUUAUUAAAAUUAUCUUCCGUUUCAUAUAAAUAAUAACCACUCUAAUUAUGGUCAUUAUUCUAGGUUAAUAUAAAAUUUUCUGUCUGUCUGUUUCUAUCUAUCUAUCUAUCUAUCUAUCUAUCUAUCUAUCUAUCUAUCUAUCUAUCUAUCUAUCUAUCUAUCUAUCUAUCUAUCUAUCUAUCUAUCUAUCUGUUUCUAUCCGUCUGUCUGUCUAUCUGUCUGUUUCCAUCUAUCUAUCUAUAUAGAUAGAUGUUGAUAAUUUUAUUUUAUUUUGUAGUUUGAUGUAAAACUGUGCCAUCUGGUGUUUGAUUGGAGUCUUUCCUUUAUGUCUUAUGUUAUGACGAGGUCAAAAAUAAAGGGAUAGUGCAUGAAUAAAAAUGUUAUAUUUCACCAUCCUGUUAACAACAAAAUGUAAGACUAGAGAGGAUAUGAAAAUUGUAUGGAAUAUGUUUUACGCACACACACUUUUAAAUGGAUAGGAAUUAAUAAACAUUAGUUUUAAAUCCACCCCUUUUUCAUGAAUGAAUAUUUAUUUCCAACAGACAUGCUGGAUCUUGAUUUACAUUAUUCUGAAAUAGAAACAUUGUUGAUAUCUUGUAUUAUUAAUACCCAAAUUUAUGCAAUAUGUACCUUUCAAGAAGGAACAUUCCAUUCUGUUCUAAUUUUGCCAAAGUCACCUUUCCUAUGUGACUCCUGCCCUCUCGGACACUUUCUGCAGCCUGUUUCUCCUCCCUCUCUUCCUCCUCCUUCCCACACAGCCUGGGAAGUAAUCCUAUAUAUAUUAGUUGUUCACCGUGUACUUCCUUAAAGGCUCUUCUCAGCUCUCUGACAUUGUGUGACACAAAGAAAGAAAAAUGCCUGAAGAAGUUCCUGCUCAGUGCAAGGCUCCCAAAGAUGAGCUGGACAAAUGUGUUCAGGGGAAGGGUGCAGAGGGCUGUAAGGAGCUGCUGGAAGCUUUUGAGGCCUGUGUGAAGGGGGCCACGGCAGCCUCUUGAGGGGUCAUGCAUUUACACGUCCAUCCUUUCUGGGUCCUCCAAUGUCUUCGCAUUCCCUCACAUUGCACUGGACCGAACCAUUCUAAAGACAGUGAAGGGGAUGCAAGUGCUGGAAAGCAGUGGAAAUGUUUAUUUUGAUCCUGGGAAGUCUCAUUGGUGUCCCUCAUGUUGUCCAUGAUAUCUGUAACUGUGGAAAAAAGAAGAACCCAGUUUUAUUAUUGUUUUCCAGAUUUCACACUGUAAAAAACAGUGCAUUUCAUUUGAUUUUGAAUAAAAUACUAUAAUUGUU